UUAAGUUAUAAAGGGCGCACGGUGGAUGCCUUGGCACUAGAAGCCGAUGAAGGACGUUACUAACGACGAUAUGCUUUGGGGAGCUGUAAGUAAGCUUUGAUCCAGAGAUUUCCGAAUGGGGAAACCCAGCAUGAGUUAUGUCAUGUUAUCGAUAUGUGAAUACAUAGCAUAUCAGAAGGCACACCCGGAGAACUGAAACAUCUUAGUACCCGGAGGAAGAGAAAGAAAAUUCGAUUCCCUUAGUAGCGGCGAGCGAAACGGGAAGAGCCCAAACCAACAAGCUUGCUUGUUGGGGUUGUAGGACACUCUAUACGGAGUUACAAAGGACGACAUUAGACGAAUCAUCUGGAAAGAUGAAUCAAAGAAGGUAAUAAUCCUGUAGUCGAAAAUGUUGUCUCUCUUGAGUGGAUCCUGAGUACGACGGAGCACGUGAAAUUCCGUCGGAAUCUGGGAGGACCAUCUCCUAAGGCUAAAUACUCUCUAGUGACCGAUAGUGAACCAGUACCGUGAGGGAAAGGUGAAAAGCACCCCGGAAGGGGAGUGAAAUAGAACCUGAAACCGUGUGCUUACAAGUAGUCAGAGCCCGUUAAUGGGUGAUGGCGUGCCUUUUGUAGAAUGAACCGGCGAGUUACGAUUUGAUGCAAGGUUAAGCAGUAAAUGUGGAGCCGUAGCGAAAGCGAGUCUGAAUAGGGCGUUUAGUAUUUGGUCGUAGACCCGAAACCAGGUGAUCUACCCUUGGUCAGGUUGAAGUUCAGGUAACACUGAAUGGAGGACCGAACCGACUUACGUUGAAAAGUGAGCGGAUGAACUGAGGGUAGCGGAGAAAUUUCAAUCGAACCUGGAGAUAGCUGGUUCUCUCCGAAAUAGCUUUAGGGCUAGCCUCAAGUGAUGAUUAUUGGAGGUAGAGCACUGUUUGGACGAGGGGCCCCUCUCGGGUUACCGAAUUCAGACAAACUCCGAAUGCCAAUUAAUUUAACUUGGGAGUCAGAACAUGGGUGAUAAGGUCCGUGUUCGAAAGGGAAACAGCCCAGACCACCAGCUAAGGUCCCAAAAUAUAUGUUAAGUGGAAAAGGAUGUGGCGUUGCCCAGACAACUAGGAUGUUGGCUUAGAAGCAGCCAUCAUUUAAAGAGUGCGUAAUAGCUCACUAGUCGAGUGACACUGCGCCGAAAAUGUACCGGGGCUAAACAUAUUACCGAAGCUGUGGAUUGUCCUUUGGACAAUGGUAGGAGAGCGUUCUAAGGGCGUUGAAGCAUGAUCGUAAGGACAUGUGGAGCGCUUAGAAGUGAGAAUGCCGGUGUGAGUAGCGAAAGACGGGUGAGAAUCCCGUCCACCGAUUGACUAAGGUUUCCAGAGGAAGGCUCGUCCGCUCUGGGUUAGUCGGGUCCUAAGCUGAGGCCGACAGGCGUAGGCGAUGGAUAACAGGUUGAUAUUCCUGUACCACCUAUAAUCGUUUUAAUCGAUGGGGGGACGCAGUAGGAUAGGCGAAGCGUGCGAUUGGAUUGCACGUCUAAGCAGUAAGGCUGAGUAUUAGGCAAAUCCGGUACUCGUUAAGGCUGAGCUGUGAUGGGGAGAAGACAUUGUGUCUUCGAGUCGUUGAUUUCACACUGCCGAGAAAAGCCUCUAGAUAGAAAAUAGGUGCCCGUACCGCAAACCGACACAGGUAGUCAAGAUGAGAAUUCUAAGGUGAGCGAGCGAACUCUCGUUAAGGAACUCGGCAAAAUGACCCCGUAACUUCGGGAGAAGGGGUGCUCUUUAGGGUUAACGCCCAGAAGAGCCGCAGUGAAUAGGCCCAAGCGACUGUUUAUCAAAAACACAGGUCUCUGCUAAACCGUAAGGUGAUGUAUAGGGGCUGACGCCUGCCCGGUGCUGGAAGGUUAAGAGGAGUGGUUAGCUUCUGCGAAGCUACGAAUCGAAGCCCCAGUAAACGGCGGCCGUAACUAUAACGGUCCUAAGGUAGCGAAAUUCCUUGUCGGGGAAGUUCCGACCCGCACGAAAGGCGUAACGAUUUGGGCACUGUCUCAACGAGAGACUCGGUGAAAUCAUAGUACCUGUGAAGAUGCAGGUUACCCGCGACAGGACGGAAAGACCCCGUGGAGCUUUACUGUAGCCUGAUAUUGAAAUUCGGCACAGCUUGUACAGGAUAGGUAGGAGCCUUUGAAACGUGAGCGCUAGCUUACGUGGAGGCGCUGGUGGGAUACUACCCUAGCUGUGUUGGCUUUCUAACCCGCACCACUUAUCGUGGUGGGAGACAGUGUCAGGCGGGCAGUUUGACUGGGGCGGUCGCCUCCUAAAAGGUAACGGAGGCGCUCAAAGGUUCCCUCAGAAUGGUUGGAAAUCAUUCAUAGAGUGUAAAGGCAUAAGGGAGCUUGACUGCGAGACCUACAAGUCGAGCAGGGUCGAAAGACGGACUUAGUGAUCCGGUGGUUCCGCAUGGAAGGGCCAUCGCUCAACGGAUAAAAGCUACCCCGGGGAUAACAGGCUUAUCUCCCCCAAGAGUUCACAUCGACGGGGAGGUUUGGCACCUCGAUGUCGGCUCAUCGCAUCCUGGGGCUGUAGUCGGUCCCAAGGGUUGGGCUGUUCGCCCAUUAAAGCGGUACGCGAGCUGGGUUCAGAACGUCGUGAGACAGUUCGGUCCCUAUCCGUCGUGGGCGUAGGAAAUUUGAGAGGAGCUGUCCUUAGUACGAGAGGACCGGGAUGGACAUACCUCUGGUGUACCAGUUGUCGUGCCAACGGCAUAGCUGGGUAGCUAUGUGUGGACGGGAUAAGUGCUGAAAGCAUCUAAGCAUGAAGCCCCCCUCAAGAUGAGAUUUCCCAACUUCGGUUAUAAGAUCCCUCAAAGAUGAUGAGGUUAAUAGGUUCGAGGUGGAAGCAUGGUGACAUGUGGAGCUGACGAAUACUAAUCGAUCGAAGACUUAAUCAA
rnacentral:rRNA from 1 species